rnacentral:piRNA from 1 species
GUCUACUAUAGGAAAAAAUCAAUGUCUUCAA